rnacentral:lncRNA from 1 species
GGAAGGUGUUGUUGUGCGGAAGCGUCAACCAACUGCGAGUGAAAAAUAAAUAACAACAGGCAGGAGAAAAAUUGAACAAAAUAAUCAACAAGAACAACACCAAGAUUUAUACUGGUUCGGCAAUUGCCUACAUCCAGUUUGGAGACGACGGAGUAUUCCACUAUAAUCAAUGAGAUAUACAAUAGUGUUUACCACUCAAUUUCCCAAAGACCCAAAUACACCCAACCUCACACACUCACAAAGGAAGAGAAAACAAUGAUACAAAGCAAAGAACAACUAGAGAGAAUUUGUUUCUCUCUUUGGCAAAAAUGCCUUUCUUGCUAUUUUUCUCUUCUACUCCACACUUGGUUUGAUCUCUUGGUUGAGAUGCUUCAAAUGAAACCAUCUUCUUCCAAUUUAUAGCCAAAGAUGCAAGAGUGUGAAUGCAAACUCAAACUAUUCAUAUGUUGGCUACCAACCAUGGAUGGCUACCAAACAAUCCACCCUUUUUGACAAAGAUAGCAAGCCAACAUUGACUCACAUGGGCAACUAACAUUGACACACAUGGGCAACUCCAAAAUUCUUCUACAUUUGAGCCAAUUUUCAACAAUCUCCACCUUGGCUCAAAACCUCGAAGCAACACUCUCAAUGGUCGUCUCCCAAUCCCCCAUGGGGCAAUCAACAAACUUUACAAAUGCCAAUUAAGUCUAAGCAAUGCUUAAACUUGAGCAACGAAACUGGCUUUGUCAACAUAUCCGCAGGAUUCUCAGCGGUCCCAAUCUUCUGAAGAAGAAUAUCUCCCUCUUCAAUAAUCUCACGAACAAAAUGGAACCUCACGUCAAUGUGUUUUGUACGUGCAUGAUGAACUUGAUUCUUUGCUAAAUAAAUAGCACUCUGACUGUCACAAUGAACAUCCACAUGGUCUUGUUGGACCCCCAAGUCAUCAAGCAACCCUUGAAGCCAGAUGGCUUCCUUUAUAGCUUCUGUUACUGCCAUGUAUUCUGCCUCAGUAGUCGACAAAGCAACUGUAGAUUGCAGAAUCGACCUCCAACUCACUGGACCUCCAGCAAUAGUGAAUACAAAACCUGUAGUGGAC